AGCCAAGAGUGAGUGGAAUCAUGUUCAGUUUGAAUGAAAAUUUGAUUUGAGGAGUAAUCAGCCAUUGACUCUCCCUUUUGUGUUGCAUAUUCCUGAUCAUUGGUUCCAGAUCACUUUUUCUUUCGGUUUGCUCAGUUGUUCUUCUUCUACUUAAAAGGGAUAGUGGGCCGAGAAGUGACCGUGGAGCUCAAGAACGACCUUGCGAUUAGGGAAAUACACCCCCAACGACUAAUGGACAAAAUGGAGCAGCCACGUGCCCGAGAUCGACAACAGCGACAACCAAUGAGUUCUUCACAACGACAAACAUAUUUGGCACGACGACGUGCAAUAGCUCAAGGAAAGCGUCCAAUGGUGGAAACUAGCUCAAGCAACAUAACAAAACAAGCUGCAGGAAAGGUACGAAAUAGGUGCCCUCAACAAAAGAAAAAAUUCCAAAGAGACGAGGGCUUUAGGAGACGUGUUUCUGUGUUUUCAUCUGGUUGGCGGAUGGGACAAUCAGUAAAAAUGAACACCGCUUAUCUUAGUGAGCUAAUUUUGAAAGAGUGGAAGAAAAAGAAGCAUGCACAGUAUGUAAUCUUAAAAGUUGUAUUUUUUUUCCUUUUAGGUAUAAUAAUUUACUUAAUUGUCACCAUU